rnacentral:rRNA from 1 species
AGUUUGAUCAUGGCUCAGAUUGAACGCUGGCGGCAUGCCUUACACAUGCAAGUCGAACGCGAAAGUAGGGGCAACCCUGCGAGUAGAGUGGCGAACGGGUGAGUAACACAUCGGAACGUACCCAGGAGUGGGGGACAACCUCGAGAAAUCGAGGCUAAUACCGCAUACGUCCUGAGGGAGAAAGCGGGGGAUCUGCAAGGACCUCGCGCUCAUGGAGCGGCCGAUGUCGGAUUAGCUAGUUGGCGGGGUAAAAGCCCACCAAGGCUACGAUCCGUAGCUGGUUUGAGAGAACGACCAGCCACACUGGGACUGAGACACGGCCCAGACUCCUACGGGAGGCAGCAGUGGGGAAUAUUGGACAAUGGGCGCAAGCCUGAUCCAGCAACGCCGCGUGGAGGACGAAGGUCUUCGGAUCGUAAACUCCUGUCAGGUGGGACGAAGGCUCGUUGGUAAAUAGCUGACGAGUUUGUCGGUACCACCAGAGGAAGCCCCGGCUAACUCCGUGCCAGCAGCCGCGGUAAUACGGAGGGGGCGAGCGUUAUUCGGAAUUAUUGGGCGUAAAGGGCGCGUAGGCGGCCCUGUAAGUCAAAGGUGAAAUCCCUCGGCUCAACUGAGGAACUGCCUU